UGUUCUGUGGCUUAGUUGGUUAAAGCACCGGUCUAGCGAAUACGGAGUCGUGGGUUCGAAUCCUACCAGAACCC
rnacentral:tRNA from 1 species